GAUGAACGCUGGCGGCGUGCUUAACACAUGCAAGUCGAACGAAGCACUUCAGAUUUCUUCGGGAAGAAGGAGUGACUGAGUGGCGGACGGGUGAGUAACGCGUGGGUAACCUGCCUCUGUCAGGGGGAUAACAGUUAGAAAUGACUGCUAAUACCGCAUAAGCGCACAGUACCGCAUGGUACGGUGUGAAAAGCCGAGACGGACAGAGAUGGACCCGCGUCUGAUUAGGUAGUUGGUGGGGUAACGGCCUACCAAGCCGACGAUCAGUAGCCGACCUGAGAGGGUGACCGGCCACAUUGGGACUGAGACACGGCCCAAA
rnacentral:rRNA from 1 species